AUUGAACGCUGGCGGCAGGCCUAACACAUGCAAGUCGAGCGGAUGAAGGGAGCUUGCUCCUGGAUUCAGCGGCGGACGGGUUAGUAAUGCCUAGGAAUCUGCCUGGUAGUGGGGGAUAACGUCCGGAAACGGGCGCUAAUACCGCAUACGUCCUGAGGGAGAAAGUGGGGGAUCUUCGGACCUCACGCUAUCAGAUGAGCCUAGGUCGGAUUAGCUAGUUGGUGGGGUAAAGGCCUACCAAGGCGACGAUCCGUAACUGGUCUGAGAGGAUGAUCAGUCACACUGGAACUGAGACACGGUCCAGUCUCCUACGGGAGGCAGCAGUGGGGAAUAUUGGACAAUGGGCGAAAGCCUGAUCCAGCCAUGCCGCGUGUGUGAAGAAGGUCUUCGGAUUGUAAAGCACUUUAAGUUGGGAGGAAGGGCAGUAAGUUAAUACCUUGCUGUUUUGACGUUACCAACAGAAUAAGCACCGGCUAACUUCGUG
rnacentral:rRNA from 1 species